AUUGAACGCUGGCGGCAGGCCUAACACAUGCAAGUCGAGCGAGCGGCGGACGGGUGAGUAAUGUAUGGGGACUGCCCGAUAGAGGGGGAUAACUACUGGGAACGGUAGCUAAUACCGCAUACUAUCGGAUAACCCAUAGGGGAUUAGCUAGUAGGUGAGGUAAUGGCUCACCUAGGCGACGAUGCCUAGCUGGUCUGAGAGGACGACGGGCCACACUGGAACUGAGACACGGCCCAGACUCCUACGGAGGCAGCAGUGGGGAAUUUUGGGCAAUGGGGGAAACCCUGACCCAGCCAUGCCGCGUGUAUGAUGAAGGCCUUCGGAUUGUAAAGUACUUUUGGCAGAGAAGCGGUAUCUGCAGAAUAAGCACCGGCUAACUACGUGCCAGCAGCCGCGGUAAUUC
rnacentral:rRNA from 1 species